AAUAAAACUGCGGAUGUUCAGCAGGGGGCAUGUUACAGUGCCAGUGUCCUCACCCAUCACUCUUCAUGGAUGGGAGUCCUGUGGCCAGGAAAAGCAGGACAUUAUGCGGGGACCACACAAGCUCCUCAGAAAGCUUCUAGGACCAUUCCCCGGGAUGGGCUCUUGCCCAGGGUGAAACCAUCAGCCCCGGAGCGCCAGCAUCAUGAGCAGGAUAUUCACUACUUUCAGCCUCAGAGGGCUGAACGCAAGUCCUCACGCCGUUUCCCAGUUUAACUCAGCCUUGAGGGCACGGCAAACCCUGACCCUGAAUUCAGCCAUUUCCCACAAAGGCUUCCGCUUAACCAGGAUCACAGAAGAGCCCAAGCGAGACACGUGGGUGUUUCUUGGUUAAAGUAAGCAAGAACCACAAGAAGCAAUUCAAGUGCCAUGAUUCCAGGCAAAACCUCUCAAGGUGCUCGCGCUUGCGGGAACAGGUAUCUUGCUUUAGUUGCGAUUGCCAGUUAGAUGCAUCUGCACACCCCGUGUUCUGCUCAGACCCUGACGCAGGUCUGCAGGCUUGCAGGGCAUGCAUUUCAGCCUGUCCAGUCUUCUUGGAUCCCACCAUGAGAGGCUCCUUCCUCAUACCUGUGAGCUUGGUCUGUCUCUGUCUCAACAUGGCCCAUUGAGGACUGCUGGGUGCCUAAGCAUCUGGGGACCUCAGAAGUGGCUCUUACUAACAGUUGGAAGCAGGGGGCAUGUUACAGUGCCAGUGUCCUCACCCAUCACUCUUCAUGGAUGGGAGUCCUGUGGCCAGGAAAAGCAGGACAUUAUGCGGGGACCACACAAGCUCCUCAGAAAGCUUCUAGGGACAUUCCCCGGGAUGGGCUGCUCGGAAGGACACAUUGUGGUCAGAGACAGGAGGCAGCCGAGGGGAAAGCUGCAGGGCUGUGGGAAGCCAGGUCCAGAGGUGGGGGCAGGGCUUCACAGAGUCUGGCACAAGGGCUUCGCCCAAGACAGACACGAGUGCACAGAUGUCGGAAGUUACAUGCGGGGCUGGCCUCUACUGGGCAGUCCACGAGGGCCUGGGCAUUUCCUGGCAACUCCACCACAGAGCACUUGGUUCAACAAGCAGGAGGACCCGGAAGAGAUGACCACGUGCAGAGGGUGGCAGUGGUCAGGGUGAGCCGGUGUCUGAGAAUCAAAGACCCCACCUGACCCCUGCAGCAGCAGAGCCUCUGCACCGAGCAGGCUGUGGAGCAGAGCGUGCCGAAAGUCCCUUCUCCUCUGGGUUGGAAGCUUUGGGAGCGCAGCACAUGCCCCCGUGAAUGUGCCCAGUGCAGCCCACCAGGCUGUGAGUGCCCAGGAGCUAUCAGCAACUGCAGCCUUCUGCCCACACACCGGGGACCCAGUGACCUCCACGGCAGUGCUGGCUGCUGACAGCUGAGACACCCAGCCAGGCCCAGCAGCACACCAGAGCCACUUCUUCAGCCAGCCCUGCCCAGUGUGCAUGGGACAAGCGAUGACUCCUUGUGGUCAGGCUGGUCACUGGACUCCUGCUUUCUCAGGAUGCUUGUGAGACUCCAGCAGCCCAUUUCCUUCCUAACAGAAGAGCGCAAACGGUCUCCUGCAUGGUGCACGUGUGCCAAGAUGUGAUGUGCCUUCCCACCUCCAACUGCCCAGUGGGUGGAGUCAGCACUCCCCCUGUGGGAUUCUGAUCCUGGAAACGUACAGGGUAGCUGUACAGGUUCCCCUGGUGAGCAAACUCCCAGGGGAUAACAGACACUUUGCCUCCCACCCUUAGAAUGCCCUGCAGUCUCUCCUAGGAGCGAGCUCCACCUGCAGCUGGGUGUCCAGGCAGUGCAGCCCGGCCACCUCGUGUCCUUCUGCUGUUAGGGAUACUUGCCGUCCUAACCCUCCCUAACACGUGCGUGUUGAUGAGCCACAGCACUGAAAUGACGACAUUCCUAAACUGUCACUAAGAGGUCUGGCAAAGCACUGUGUCUCCCCUUGCAAAGACACUAACAGCACAGCCCUGGGCAUGAUCCACAAGAGAAGGGGCUCCCUUCACUCCAAGGAGAGCCAACCGUGGGAGAUCCUGCUGUAGACCUUAGUGCCCAGGACAGCAAGUUGCAACACAGUUUGCAAAACCCAGUGAUAUUAGUGACUCAAAUGCACAAUGUUUGGGCUUUGGCAAGUGAGAGGUUGACAGAACAGGACUGGGGCACCCUGUGUUUGUGCCUGCAGGAGGCCUGAGGAAAGGGUCCCUUUACAACAGCAGAAUGCCAGCUGUUUCCACGCCCUGAGCUGUAUGUGGCCAGAGAAGACAUGGUCCCAAAGAAAAUUUCUCUGUGUCCUUUUGGAGAUUCUCUGCCCUCGCUUGUCCACAGAGAUGAGCACCAUGCAUCUCAGGAGAGAGAAUGGCCCUACCCAGUGCCUGAAAUGAGGGCAUGGGGCCAAGGAAGGGGAGGAAACACCAGACCCAAGGGCUGCCCAGGGAUGGUGCCCACGGCCCGGCUUUCCGUGCUCCAAAUCUGGCCUGGGCUUCUAUGCUGCCAACCAUAGGUGCAUGUCGGGGGGAAAUAACUCCACCCUCUAUGAGCCCUGGAUCUAAAGAACUAUCUCAAUGUCCAUUUUCAUCUCAAAUGACAGCACCAAAGGCCAGGCCAAAUCAAGAAUUCCUCACCAGAACUACCACACAACACUCUUCUGCAAUUCUAGGGUUCCGUGUCCAGGGAAAGAGGCAAAGGUUUCUGCAGACAUGCACAAUCCUGAGGCAAGGACACACCUGCCACACAGGGACUGCCUCUGAUGUGUCUGCUGCAGGGCGUCCCCCUGCUGGCCCCUGGUCACUGGGAGAUGCUCUACACCCAGCCCUCGCCCUGCCAUUUGCAUGCCAGUCUUGCAUUUACUGACAGAAGUGGUGCAUCCGAUGCAUCUCGCGGCUCCUGUCAACUACAUUUAUAUGGAAACACACAUCAUGCACAAGUGCAAUGAUUCCAGUGAGCUCUGUGUUAAUGGAAGGGAGGGCUAGGCCCCUCCAAGUUUCCUACAGCACAUGUGCUCACGGCUUCCAGUCUCCUUUCCUGUGCAAGGACCAUUUCAGACAAUCAGGAGCUACAGUGUGGUGAAGCACAAGGUACAGAGACAAGACCCAGCAGGUCUGCAGGAUGAGGCCUACCCUGGCCCAUUCCACAGCCAGCCAUGUUCUGGAAGGGGUGACACGCACCAGUCAAGUCCACAGAGGUGACACAUGUCCACUGGGCCCAGAGGUGCGAUGUGAACUGGUUAGACACCCUCCAUAUUCAGCGCUGGGAAGCUCACGGGUCAGUGUUUCUCUGUGUAGGCUGCAUGCCACUCAUUAACAUGGCUAACACAACCAUGUUCUGCAGGUGCUGCCUCAUUGUGUGCAUGGCAGAGACUUUGUUUCCAAAAACAUAUGCAUGGCACCUGCUUGCCACCGUUCGUUCAUCAGAUACCCAUGGAAUUUAUUGUUCAUUGCAAAGAUCCAUGCUGUGCUCUUCACACCACACAGACAAAGCCAGCCAGUCCCAAAACUGCUAAGCUGCACUCUGUGGGUGGUGCUGAUAAAAUGAUCUCAUCUCUCUUUGGGCCUAGCACCUGCAUGGGUUCCCAAAGUAUGAUGCAGUCAAUACAGGACACACAAGGCAAUCCUGUGCCCCACCUGUUACGGUAGUCCUGUGUACAAUCCAGCAACCCCAGAAUGCAGGAGCUAGGCCCAUGAAGAGGCUGCUGGCCUCACCCUGUUGGGGUCAGAAACAAAGAUGGCUUGCAGCUUUUUGUACAAAUGUGUAAGUAAUAAACACACACAGCCCACAACUAUGCUGGAAGAAGAGUAAAAAAAAAAAAAAAUCUAGAGGAAACCCCAUUCGACCACCCCGCCAGGCUGGAAGUAAGCCAGGCGUUUCCCCAGAGGAUCAGGAGCAGGCACAGACACAGCCCCCGCAGGUCCAGAGGAUCCCCACCGGCAGGCCCUGCAGAGACUCAGCCUUGGUUUCUCUAAAACUCUGAGAUCCGGGGAAGAAACAGCCCUGCCCACCCUGCAGCGGCAGGUCCAUGGAGCGCUCCGGAUUGGACCCAAGACAGAAUGGGCAGCGGAUCUGCUUGGGCGGCUGCAGCUACUCCUCAUGCAAAGUCCUGUCCAAGCUCCAUUUCCCAGGGCAUGCGGCUCGGGCCUCACUCCUGCCCCCCACACGUAAUGCUCCGAGGGCACAGUCGGAGCCUAGGACAGGGAGGCGAGUGGCACACGUCCUGCCCUGAGUUGCCAGAGGGAAGGGCGUGAGAACUGCAAGAAAUAUUUAAGAUCCAUUUCCAACUCCACAUGCACCCAAGGUCAACGUGUCCUGGAUGGAUCCCCCUUGCCAUUAUCAAACCCCAGGUUCUCUUCAGGGACCAUGAGCCCCGCUGGGGGUGGCUCCUGCCCGACUCCCAGCCACGCAUUUGUGGCUGCCCCUGCCAGCCUGCCCACACGCUCGGCCCUGCAGAGAGCGCCCUGCCAGGAGGUUGUCACCAUCAGGCUGCCAGCACACUCGUGACCCCUCCUACACCUGCCAACACUCCCCAGAGUCCAGGCUCCUGCUGGGAACCCCAGCUUCUGCACAGGCUCUGAGCGUCUCUGUCCAUCCUCUUACAUCUCCCCAUUCCAAAACUGCACUCAUGGAACCUGCAGGAGCAUGGCUCCCAUUCCACUCCCUCCGUAAUAGUGGGUGUUUGUUUUUUUUAAAGGGAAGCACUUUUUGAUUCACAGUGAGCCCUUAGUUGAUGUUGAUUGACAUUAGAAUAAUGUUAAAACUCGAUAUGUAGAUGAACAAGCCUUUCUCAUUCCACCAGCUUGGUAGCCACAGUCAGGGAGAGAAUAGGGCUGAGCAGUGUUGGGAAGGACUUCUGGCUGGAAGCACAGCCCCACCUGUGUAUGUGCUGGCUGGGGCACAGCUAGAGGGGCGGCAGGCUCAUUCCAGGGAAGCAGAAGGGCACCAGCCACCGGGCACGGUCUGUCCUGCUAGUGCCUCACAUUGUCUUCCCACAUGUAAGUAGCAGGUAUGCAAGUGCAUUUGGGUGAGCGCUCAGCGAGCACCUGAGAAGAGCCCACCUGGCAUCUAAGUGGCCAGGUCUUGCUUCCAGAGUCCAUCCUCUGGGGCACCCUGCCCAACGUGGCAGAGGGGCCGCUGGCGAGGCUGGAGGAUUCACAUGCACAUGGUUUUAUGAAGCCUCCUGCAGCUGUGCAGCCUCCUGGGGCAGCAACGCCUCGACCUGAAGGUGACGCACGUGUGACCUCCAGCACUCAUGGCCUUACCUAGGAUGCCCGAACCCGAGUCAGGCUGUCACCAUCCAGUGUGAUGGCCUCGCUGUGCCGGUCUGCACACACAAACAGUAAAGACACUGAGUUGAAGGGCAAGUGAACGGCUUGCCCCAGAGUCUGGAUUCACUCUUUUCUAAAGGACCCACUUAUCUCAUCUACAAAAUAGAUUUAAGAACAUGCAAUCCAUAAAUUUUCCUUUUUAAAAAAGGUACUCUCUUUUUCCACACAGUCUAAUUAGGGUCCCCUUCUUUAUGAUUUUAUCUGGACUCUAUAUGGUGUUGGCUGCUCUGCAAAUGAGUCAUAGGGUAACUAUUCCCAGAUUGUACCCAAUUCUCCAGAGAAGCAGAGGAAAAAGAAACAACUGCCUUUUAAGGAGAUCAAACCUGUUCCUAGUGAUAAACCUCUUUCCACUUCAGUUUGGACACAGUCUCAACAACCGACGGACAGAAAACUGUGGGGUGGUGUAUAAAAUGCAUCAGCUGGUGGACGUCCCUCGCCGUGGGUGGUUCUGCAUGCACUGCCAUUCAUCCCACACAAACACGCUACAUCCACACGGGCACCUGGCCCCCAUGAGAUGCUGAGAGCACGUUUCCUUCCCCCAUCAUCAAGACAGCUGGUCACAGUUUGGAUUAUAUGCUGCAUACUUUGUUAAGGAAAUUUAUUUUAAAACGUUUUUAUAAAACAAGAAUAUUUGGUUUCAGGACAUUUGCAAAACAUGGAGUUGAAUUGUGAGAAUCUGUAGUGAAGCUGAGUGGAAAGAUAGUUGCAGGAAGGCCACUCAGGAACUGCUCCCUGGGCGCUGGGUGACGCGUGACAACUGUCACUCCAGUCUGCACCUCCUCAGGCAUUUCCCGCUGCCGGACCUGGAAGUUACAUGAAGAGUCCAGCGCACCGCAGGAGGCGCUUCCUCAGCAUGUGACUGUUCCCUUCCAUGGCCCCGGCCCUCCCAUGGUCCUCAGCGUCUCAGAUGGGCCACAGCAGUGGCUCCCACCACUUGAAACCCAUGCAGACGGCCCCCCAUGGUCACCCGAGCUUGGAGGAGCCCUUCCGGGCAGGUCCUGUGUGACCGGGCCCAGCACAGCCGCUCUGCGUACGCCCCUGUCAGGUCUGAUAAACUGCUUGCUGCUCGUCAGAAGAGCAGAGCCUCAGCCAACAGAUGCAAAGAUCAAGACACAAGACUCUCCUCUGUUGAGUUGCAAAAGUGACAUGUUAUUUAGUCCAGGGCUUACAACGGUGAAACUGAGUCAGGGUUUUUCUGUUUGUGUUUCAACCAAAUUAUUAUAAAUGAUCAAAAUAAAAUAUCUGGC
rnacentral:lncRNA from 1 species